rnacentral:rRNA from 1 species
GAUGAACGCUGGCGGCGUGCCUAAUACAUGCCAGUCGAGCGAACAGACGAGGAGCUUGCCCCUCUGACGUUAGCGGCGGACGGGUGAGUAACACAUGGAUAACCUACCUAUAAGACUGGGAUAACUUCGGGAAACCGGAGCUAAUACCGGAUAAUAUAUUGAACCGCAUGGUUCAAUAGUGAAAGACGGUUUUGCUGUCACUUAUAGAUGGAUCCGCGCCGCAUUAGCUAGUUGGUAAGGUAACGGCUUACCAAGGCAACGAUGCGUAGCCGACCUGAGAGGGUGAUCGGCCACACUGGAACUGAGACACGGUCCAGACUCCUACGGGAGGCAGCAGUAGGGAAUCUUCCGCAAUGGGCGAAAGCUUGACGGAGCAACGCCGCGUGAGUGAUGAAGGUCUUCGGAUCGUAAAACUCUGUUAUUAGGGAAGAACAAAUGUGUAAGUAACUAUGCACGUCUUGACGGUACCUAAUCAGAAAGCCACGGCUAACUACGUG